UAACUAUUAUUAACGCUGUUAGAUGAAUAGCUUGGUUUUGGUUCUGAUGAAGGACGUGGCAAGCUGCGAAAAGUUUGGGCGAGCCGCAUGCAGGCUUUGAACCCAAAAUAUCCUAAUCACUCAGAGAUGAGAAGAAACGCCGGGAAUUGAAACAUCUUAGUACCGGCAGGAAGAGAAAAUAAAUAAUGAUACCCUUAUUAGCAGCGAGCGAAAAGGGUCAAGGGCAAACCGAAUCUCCCGUCGAAAGAUGGGCAGAGAUGUGGUGAAGGUAAAUAGCUAAGGAAUCGAAGAAAAGUCCUCUGGAACGAGGCACCUCAGAGGGUGAUAGUCCCGUAUCUUAAAAUUCUAUGUUGUUCUUCAACGAGUAGGGCGUCCUGGAUUGGGCGUCUGAAUACGGCAGGAUUAACUGCCAACCCUAAAUAUAACCAAAGUCCGAUAGCGCACUAGUACCGCGAGGGAAAGCUGAAAAGUACCCUUAACAGGGUGUUAAAAGACUUGAAAUCUAACAGCUACAGAGUGUUACUGCCCUAAACGAUUUAUCGUCGUGGGUUGUAACGUACGUUUUGAAGAACGGGCCAGGGAGUUUCUCUAUGUGGCGAGGCUAACCUUCUAUGAAGGGUAACCGGAGCGAAAGCAAGUCUGAAAUAGGCGUUAGUCACAUGGAUAAGACCUGAAGCCAGAUGAUCUAUUCAUGGGCAAGGUGAAGUCUCUCGAAAGGGGGAUGGAGGCCUGAACUAGUGUUGUGUACAUGCACUUAAAUGAUCUGUGAAUAGGGGUGAAAAGCCUCUCUAAUCUGGCAAUGGCUGGUUCCCGCUGAAAUAUGCCUUCGUAUAGUCUCGUCUUGUUUGUUGACGUUGUAAAGUACGGAUUGAAUUCGCAGGACCUAUUGGUUACGGAAUUCGUUCCAACUCAGAAUAUGUCAAUUGCAUAGGACGGGAAACAGGGUGUGUAUGUAAGAUACACUUCCGAGACCGGAACAACGGAGACUUAAGUUAAGGUCCCUAAAUUUAUACUAAGUGUAACGAAAGGUGUCAUGAACCUGAGACAAUGGGGAUGUAAGCUUAGAAGCAGCUAUCAUUCAAAGAAAGCGUAACAGCUCACCCAUCGAGGUUCAAGGCCCUGAAAAUGGACGGGGCUAAGUAUAAUACCGAUACUUAAGCGGCACUCGAAAGAGUGUUCGGGUAAGCGGGCGUCUUUUCUGCGCAGAAGGUUUUUCGAGAGAAAGGCUGGAGCGGAAAGGAAUGAGAAUCCUGGCAAUAGUAGGAAGUGAUUUCCGUGAGAAUCGGAAAUGUCGAAAGAGCAAGGUUUCCUCGGCAAUAUUCGUUAUCCGAGGGUUAGUCAGUGCCUAAGUCAUGCCUUAGCUGAGCAUGACGAUGGACAGCAGGUUAAUAUUCCUGCACUGAUUGAGUCUUUUGUAUGAAAUAGUUUUUGGAUAAGCGAACAUCCGGAAGGAUGUUCUUGUAAAGAAAUUCAGAUAGCGUAAUGCUAAGACCUGAAUGAACUUACAGGAUAAAGUCGCUGAGUCCGGGAGCCAGUGAAAAGUUUCAUGCUAAACGGAUUUAAUCAACUGUACCCACAACCGACACUGGUGCUCUAGCUGAGUAGGCUAAGACAUGUAAGCUUUAAAUCAACUAAGGGAACUCGGCAAUUUGGCCCUGUAACUUCGGUUUAAGGGGUGUCUAUAUUUGUGUUUUCAGAAAUGUAAAUGCAUUUGUAGAUCUCAGUAACAAGGGCGGCCCGACUGUUUACCAAAAACGUAGCUAAGCGCGAAUCCGAAAGGAUGUGUAUGCUUGGUGAGACCUGCCCAGUGGUGGUGUGUCAAACUCCUUUUCAAGGGAGCUAAGCCCCAUCAAACGGCGGGGGUAACUAUGACCCUCUUAAGGUAGCGUAAUGCCUUGUCGUAUGAAUUGCGACGUGCAUGAAUGGUUUAACGAGGUCGCCACUGUCCCUAGUUGAGAGCUUCCGAAAAUCUUGUGUGGUGAAAAUACCACGGACGCCUAGUGGGAAGCGGAGACCUUGUGGAACUUUACUACAACUUGUUGUUGUGAUUUUAUCUGGAAUACAUAGAAUAAGUAGGAGCGUCGAAGUGUUCAUUUCGGUGGACAUGGAGCGAACUUGUAAUACUACUUAUUUUUGAUAAAGUUGCUUACUUCUAUGGAGGACAGCAGCAGGCGGGUAGUUUGACUGGGGCGGUGCCCUGUCGAAAAUAUAUCGAUAGGACUCAAAGAUAAGCUCACCUAGCUUGGAAAUCUAGGGUUGAGUGCGAGGGCAAAAGCUUAUCUGACUGUAUUUCGACAAGUAAGAAAUGCAGGGACGAAAGUCGGACCUAGUGAACCCACGUGCUUAUUUAAUAGAAGCCGUGUCUGAUAGAAAAGUUACCCCAAGGAUAACAGGCUUGUCGCCCCCGAUAGUCCAUAUUGACGGGGCGGUUUGGUACAUCGCUGUCGGCUCAUCCUAUCCUGCGCGUGCAGAAGCGUGCAAGGGUGCCGGAGUUCACGCAUUAAAAGGGUUCGUUAGCUGGGUUAAGAACGUCGCGAGACAGUUUGUAUGAUAUCUACUAGGUGUGUUAUUGUCUGAGUGGAACAAAUCAGUAGUACGAGAGGAACCUGAUCUGGAUGCCUCUGGUGAGCGGUUGUCAUGUGGCACGCCGCGUAGCUACGCAUUGUAUGGAUAAGAGCUGAAUGCAUCUAAGCUCGAAGCCAUCCGCAAAACGAGACAAUUAAGGCCGUCAUAGAAGAUGACGUUGAUAGAGUUGGAGUGUAAGAUUCGAGCUUCGGCGAGAAUUUCAGCUAACAACUACUAAAAGCCUCAAACUGAUUUUU
rnacentral:rRNA from 1 species